rnacentral:rRNA from 1 species
GGUCAAGUGAAGAAGCGCAUACGGUGGAUGCCUUGGCAGUCAGAGGCGAUGAAAGACGUGGUAGCCUGCGAAAAGCUUCGGGGAGUCGGCAAACAGACUUUGAUCCGGAGAUGUCUGAAUGGGGGAACCCAGCCAUCAUAAGAUGGUUACCUUACACUGAAUACAUAGGUGUAUGGAGCGAACCAGGGGAACUGAAACAUCUAAGUACCCUGAGGAAAAGAAAUCAACCGAGAUUCCCUUAGUAGUGGCGAGCGAACGGGGACUAGCCCUUAAGUGGCUUUGAGAUUAGCGGAACGCUCUGGAAAGUGCGGCCAUAGUGGGUGAUAGCCCUGUACGCGAAAAUCUCUUAGUCAUGAAAUCGAGUAGGACGGAGCACGAGAAACUUUGUCUGAAUAUGGGGGGACCAUCCUCCAAGGCUAAAUACUACUGACUGACCGAUAGUGAACUAGUACCGUGAGGGAAAGGCGAAAAGAACCCCGGAGAGGGGAGUGAAAUAGAUCCUGAAACCGUAUGCGUACAAGCAGUGGGAGCCCACUUUGUUGGGUGACUGCGUACCUUUUGUAUAAUGGGUCAGCGACUUAUUUUCAGUGGCGAGCUUAACCGAAUAGGGGAGGCGUAGCGAAAGCGAGUCUUAAUAGGGCGUCUAGUCGCUGGGAAUAGACCCGAAACCGGGCGAUCUAUCCAUGGGCAGGUUGAAGGUUGGGUAACACUAACUGGAGGACCGAACCGACUACCGUUGAAAAGUUAGCGGAUGACCUGUGGAUCGGAGUGAAAGGCUAAUCAAGCUCGGAGAUAGCUGGUUCUCCUCGAAAGCUAUUUAGGUAGCGCCUCAUGUAUCACUGUAGGGGGUAGAGCACUGUUUCGGCUAGGGGGUCAUCCCGACUUACCAAACCGAUGCAAACUCCGAAUACCUACAAGUGCCGAGCAUGGGAGACACACGGCGGGUGCUAACGUCCGUCGUGAAAAGGGAAACAACCCAGACCGUCAGCUAAGGUCCCAAAGUUAUGGUUAAGUGGGAAACGAUGUGGGAAGGCUUAGACAGCUAGGAGGUUGGCUUAGAAGCAGCCACCCUUUAAAGAAAGCGUAAUAGCUCACUAGUCGAGUCGGCCUGCGCGGAAGAUGUAACGGGGCUCAAACCAUACACCGAAGCUACGGGUAUCACGUAAGUGAUGCGGUAGAGGAGCGUUCUGUAAGCCUGUGAAGGUGAGUUGAGAAGCUUGCUGGAGGUAUCAGAAGUGCGAAUGCUGACAUGAGUAACGACAAUGGGUGUGAAAAACACCCACGCCGAAAGACCAAGGUUUCCUGCGCAACGUUAAUCGACGCAGGGUUAGUCGGUCCCUAAGGCGAGGCUGAAAAGCGUAGUCGAUGGAAAACAGGUUAAUAUUCCUGUACUUCUGGUUAUUGCGAUGGAGGGACGGAGAAGGCUAGGCCAGCUUGGCGUUGGUUGUCCAAGUUUAAGGUGGUAGGCUGGAAUCUUAGGUAAAUCCGGGAUUCUAAGGCCGAGAGCUGAUGACGAGUCGUCUUUUAGAUGACGAAGUGGUUGAUGCCAUGCUUCCAAGAAAAGCUUCUAAGCUUCAGGUAACCAGGAACCGUACCCCAAACCGACACAGGUGGUUGGGUAGAGAAUACCAAGGCGCUUGAGAGAACUCGGGUGAAGGAACUAGGCAAAAUGGCACCGUAACUUCGGGAGAAGGUGCGCCGGUGAGGGUGAAGGACUUGCUCCGUAAGCUCAUGCCGGUCGAAGAUACCAGGCCGCUGCGACUGUUUAUUAAAAACACAGCACUCUGCAAACACGAAAGUGGACGUAUAGGGUGUGACGCCUGCCCGGUGCCGGAAGGUUAAUUGAUGGGGUUAGCUAACGCGAAGCUCUUGAUCGAAGCCCCGGUAAACGGCGGCCGUAACUAUAACGGUCCUAAGGUAGCGAAAUUCCUUGUCGGGUAAGUUCCGACCUGCACGAAUGGCGUAACGAUGGCGGCGCUGUCUCCACCCGAGACUCAGUGAAAUUGAAAUCGCUGUGAAGAUGCAGUGUAUCCGCGGCUAGACGGAAAGACCCCGUGAACCUUUACUAUAGCUUUGCACUGGACUUUGAAUUUGCUUGUGUAGGAUAGGUGGGAGGCUUUGAAGCGUGGACGCCAGUCUGCGUGGAGCCAACCUUGAAAUACCACCCUGGCAACUUUGAGGUUCUAACUCAGGUCCGUUAUCCGGAUCGAGGACAGUGUAUGGUGGGUAGUUUGACUGGGGCGGUCUCCUCCUAAAGAGUAACGGAGGAGUACGAAGGUGCGCUCAGACCGGUCGGAAAUCGGUCGUAGAGUAUAAAGGCAAAAGCGCGCUUGACUGCGAGACAGACACGUCGAGCAGGUACGAAAGUAGGUCUUAGUGAUCCGGUGGUUCUGUAUGGAAGGGCCAUCGCUCAACGGAUAAAAGGUACUCCGGGGAUAACAGGCUGAUACCGCCCAAGAGUUCAUAUCGACGGCGGUGUUUGGCACCUCGAUGUCGGCUCAUCACAUCCUGGGGCUGAAGCCGGUCCCAAGGGUAUGGCUGUUCGCCAUUUAAAGUGGUACGCGAGCUGGGUUUAGAACGUCGUGAGACAGUUCGGUCCCUAUCUGCCGUGGACGUUUGAGAUUUGAGAGGGGCUGCUCCUAGUACGAGAGGACCGGAGUGGACGAACCUCUGGUGUUCCGGUUGUCACGCCAGUGGCAUUGCCGGGUAGCUAUGUUCGGAAUAGAUAACCGCUGAAAGCAUCUAAGCGGGAAACUAGCCUCAAGAUGAGAUCUCACUGGAACCUUGAGUUCCCUGAAGGGCCGUCGAAGACUACGACGUUGAUAGGUUGGGUGUGUAAGCGCUGUGAGGCGUUGAGCUAACCAAUACUAAUUGCCCGUGAGGCUUGACCAUAU